AUGUCACAGCCACCACACGUCUCCCCGUCACAUUAGCCCCUUCUCCAAUCUUCUAUAUUUUUUUCAAAAAAAGACACCGAGUCAAAGCCCUCGAAUGAAAAAAUAAUACUAAAAAUAAAACAAAUUUCGCCACGCGCUGACCCUCACGCUCUCUGAAGCCCAGUCUGAGUCUCCCUGAUCCCAACAAACUAGCAGAGCAUCAAACCCCAAAACCCAAAAACCUUAGACUGUACACAGACCAAAAAGAAAAUAAAAAUUCCAUAGAUGCAAGGACAUGACGGAGUGGGAAGGAGGCGAAAAUUGAAAUUCCGGUAACUGGAAAUUCUUGAGAGAAAGUGCAGGAAAUUUAGAAUAAAUAUGGCGUCGUCGAAGGUGAUGGCGUCGUCGAAACCGAAAAGUUCGGAUCUGACAUCAUCAUCAGCAACAGCUCGAUCGCGACGCGCUUCUUCUUCUUCUUCUUCUGCUAGUGCUGCUGCCGCUUCUGUAUCUGUUGCUUCUUCUUCAACAAAGUCACUAAAUGCUUUUUCUUCUUCUUCUUCUGAUCAAAUUAAAAGCAACUUUCGUAAUCUUACGCCAUCGUCGUCUUCAUCGGCGGUUACUACAAUGACCGUCGACGGCAUCCUGCGUAAUGCCUACCCCACUCCUUCUGCUGAGUCUACUCUCCUUGACGCUCAAAUUACUCUUGUUGAUACCCCUGCUCCUCUUCUCCCGGCAACACCACCACCGCAACCGUCGCCAGCAGUGACAACGGCGACAAUUGAGAUAAACCAUAGUAAUAGUAGCAAUAAUCAAGAAUUGAACGGUGUUCUUCCUCAGGCUAGUAAAACCGUGGACGAUGUAUGGAGGGAAAUUGUCUCCGGGAGGAAGGAGAUGAAGGAGGAACCUGAUGAGAUGAUGACGUUGGAGGAUUUUCUGGCCAAAGCUGGGGCGGUGGACGUUGGGGAGGAGGAUGAGGUCAAGAUGCCGCCUCCAGAGAGGUUGAGUGGGGGAGUUUAUGCGUUUGAUCCCAUUCCACCCAGUGCGUUCCAGAUGUUGGAUAAAGUAGAGGGAUCGAUUGUUGGAUUUGGAAGUGGAGCGGAUGGGGUUGUUGGAGGAGGGGGACGUGGUGUAGGCAGGGGAAAAAGAGGGAGGACUACCAUAAUGGAACCAUUAGAUAAGGCGGCACAACAAAGACAGAGAAGGAUGAUCAAGAAUAGGGAGUCAGCUGCCAGGUCUAGAGAGAGGAAGCGGGCUUAUCAAGUCGAAUUAGAGUGUUUGGCAGUGAGGCUAGAGGAGGAGAAUGAGCGGUUGCUGAAAGAGAAGGCAAGCUAUAGGAAGAAACAGAAACUUUGGGAUAGGUUUGGCUGCUUACUUUGAAGUGGAGCAUACCAUCAUUCAAGUAAUGAGGAAGAGAGGACUAAAGAAAGGUUCAAACAGCUUAUGGAGAAAGUGGUGCCUGUUGUUGAGAAGAGAAGACCACCCCGAAGGCUCCGGAGAGUUCACUCCAUGCAGUGGUAAGAUUAUAUGUUCUCAAAGUGUGAGAUGAAGACAGAUACUGUUUGCUGACAUGGAGAGUAAAUGAAAAAAGCAGUAUUCUUGGCAUAAAAAUCCAUUUUCUUCAAAACUAGGUACCUGAUUCUUUUCUGAAAGAAAUUGCGGCUUCUGAAAUUAAUUACCAAAACUAAUAUACAAGGGCAUAGCAACCUGAAUUAUGAAAGCAAAUUCCUUGUUUAACUGCAUAUGUGGAAGGCCUAUCAUGCUAAGAUGGAUGUUAGAGGGUCUAGGUUCUAUUCUAGUUAUUUGUCGAGUUAGCAAGCAAUGCCAAACUUGGUGCUUCCCAAUUGCUAUUGUAAGGGGAAAACAGAGAGGUGUUUGGAGGGGUUGAGAAAUUCCAAAUUCUGGACCUGCACACCCCAUUUACGUGCUGGCAACUUAUGAUAGCUUUUAUAUAAAAUGUAAAAUUGGCGGAUGGUAUCUAUUUAUAGUAAAAGCUCAUGCUGCAUUAAUUUCCUGGAAAAAAAAUUGGUGCAUGUGUCUGAUCAUGUGAACUGAAGCUGUCGUGUUGAAGCAUCUCUCUCUCUCUCUGUCUCUCUCUCUCAUAUGUGGGUGAUGAUAGUGUAUAAUGAUGUAAGAAAUGGUCCUUUGGUGGGGCAUUCUAGAAAAGUUGCUUGCUGUAAUAGUUUGUGUAGUCGGCAUGCUGAAGGGCAUUGUUAAAAAGAAAUGAGAUUGCUGGCAAUCAUUCCAACAAGUGAACUGAAUUGGGUUUGUCAUCAGCAGCUUUGAUUUUUAUACAGGAGCAUGACAAAAAGACGACGGUUUCCUGUUGGAUAUGAUUUUGCAAAUAGAAAUAUGUUGAGAUUGAAUUUGGAGCAAGGAUAAAUGCUUAUAACAAGACUAUCUGUUGUGUUGUACAAUUGCUUUCAGUAUAUUUUAUUUUAUGGUCUUCAAGGUCUCUUUUUGAGCUUUUGGUAGUCCUUUUGUCA